ensembl:lncRNA
AGUUGUGAAAAUAUAUAGUGAGUUAAAUGUUGGAACAGGAGGAUAUAAUAAUUUAUAUUCAGGCUUAUAUUCAAGCUAUAAUUCUAACUGAACUUUUUUAGAUCCAUCCAUCCAUCUCUUCCGUUUUUCCUUAUCAGGGUUGUUGGGGGGCCUGGAGCCAGCCGUCAUAGGAUCCUGACAGUGCUGAAUCAAAGAGGCAACUUUGAACUCCUAUCAGAUAUCUGCUGGGGGAGAGAAGGAGGAGGAGGAGAGAGUGAAGGUGGAGGAAAAGAGUAUUUUUCACAUGGACUUUCUGUAUACUGGCAUCACACACCUUGUCCAAUGUGCAAGUGACUGCAACUCCCUCAGAGAUUGGUGAAGGAAAGAAGCUCCGCAUUAAAGAAGUUGAUGACACCAAAUAGCUCCAAGCAUCAGCCCAACCUGUGUCUGCACUGCAUUCAGCUCCACAAUCCUUGAAAACUCCCCGAAGGUUAAAAAACUUCACGAAGUGCCGCAGCUUCCCAGAUUUCACCUCUGACAGUCUUGCCCUAGAUAUUUCUCUAUCCCUGUCAGACACACUUGCAGGUCUCAUCGGCUGCCAGCUGUGGAGGAGAGGACGUGGAGAUCAGCGCAGAUGAGAAGUGAAAAGGAUGAAGGGAAACCAAUCGAUCGAAAAGCCUCCAUCCUAAUCUUGUUGACGUCCUCAGAUGGUGCAGACAGGAGCCCUGGAGCAACUUUGGGGAACAUAUUAAAUCC